UGAGUUGAGUUGAGUUGAUCCAUG
rnacentral:siRNA from 1 species